rnacentral:rRNA from 1 species
AUUGAACGCUGGCGGCAGGCCUAACACAUGCAAGUCGAGCGGAAACGAUCCUAGCUUGCUAGGAGGCGUCGAGCGGCGGACGGGUGAGUAACGCGUGAGAAUCUACCCAUGAGUGGGGGACAACCCGGGGAAACUCGGGCUAAUACCGCAUACGCCCUACGGGGUAAAGCAGGGGACCUUCGGGCCUUGCGCUGAUGGAUGAGCUCGCGUCGGAUUAGCUUGUUGGUGAGGUAAAGGCUCACCAAGGCGACGAUCCGUAGCUGGUCUGAGAGGAUGAUCAGCCACACCGGGACUGAGACACGGCCCGGACUCCUACGGGAGGCAGCAGUGGGGAAUCUUGGACAAUGGGGGCAACCCCGAUCCAGCCAUGCCGCGUGUGUGAAGAAGGCCUUCGGGUUGUAAAGCACUUUCAGCAGGGAGGAAGGCUUACCCCUAAUACGGGUGAGUACUUGACGUUACCUGCAGAAGAAGCACCGGCUAAUUUCGUG